ACCAUUAUAUAGAUACUUGAAGCAUGUUCUAUGCAUUACGAGUAUCGUUAAUGAAAAAGCACAACUCUAAAGGAGAGAAGAAAAACGUCUGGCGAGUCAGAGAAGCAAAUCGUCUUCGUCAUCUUCGCUGCUCUCGGACCGUCCUAAUUAUACAUGUUUCUCCGUAUUUCUGGAAUACGGAUGAGUGGAGGGGAAAGAUGAGAGAGGAAGAGAGAAAGAAAUAGAAAGAGAGAGAGAGAGAGAGAGAGAGAGAGAGAGAGAAGAGAGACUCUCAAGAGAAAAGACACACGAGGGAGCGCAAGAGAGAAGAGAAGCGAGUAACCGCGAAAAGCUCAGUCGCGCGUGGUCCACCUACAAUCACGCAUAUACUUUAUGUGUAACGUCGUGAAUUAUUACAGUGAACGGUACAGUGAACGUUUAUUAAUAAAGAAAAUAAAAACAGACAAACAAAU